rnacentral:rRNA from 1 species
GAUGAACGCUGGCGGCGUGCCUAAUACAUGCAAGUCGAGCGAACAGACGAGGAGCUUGCUCCUCUGACGUUAGCGGCGGACGGGUGAGUAACACGUGGAUAACCUACCUAUAAGACUGGGAUAACUUCGGGAAACCGGAGCUAAUACCGGAUAAUAUAUUGAACCGCAUGGUUCAAUAGUGAAAGACGGUUUUGCUGUCACUUAUAGGUGGAUCCGCGCCGCAUUAGCUAGUUGGUAAGGUAACGGCUUACCAAGGCGACGAUGCGUAGCCGACCUGAGAGGGUGAUCGGCCACACUGGAACUGAGACACGGUCCAGACUCCUACGGGAGGCAGCAGUAGGGAAUCUUACGCAAUGGGCGAAAGCCUGACGGAGCAACGCCGCGUGAGUGAUGAAGGUCUUCGGAUCGUAAAACUCUGUUAUUAGGGAAGAACAAAUGUGUAAGUAACUAUGCACGUCUUGACGGUACCUAAUCAGAAAGCCACGGCUAACUACGUG